AAUAUUUUGUUUAGAAUUUUUAUGUCUAUAUUCAUCAAGGAUAUUGGCCUAUAGUUUGUUUUUUUAUAAUGUCUUGUGUGACUUUGAUAUCAGAGUAAUGUUGGCCUCAUAAAUAUGUUUAAAAGUAUGCACACUUCUUCAAUUUUUUGAAAGAGUUUGAGAAGGAUUGGUAUUGGUAUUAGUACUUCUUUAGAUGUUUGGUAGAAUUCAGUAGUGAAGCAAUCAGAUCCUGGGAUUUUAUUUGAUGGGAGACAUUUUAUUACUGAUUCAAUAUCCUUCCUUGUUAUUGGUCUUUUCACAUUUUCUUUUACCUCAUAAUUUAGUCUUAGUAUGCUGUAUGUGUCUAGGAAUUUAUUAAUUUCUUCUAGGUCAUCCAAUUUUUUGGCAUAUAACUGUUCAUAGUAGACUCAUGAUCAUUUGUAUUUUUACAAUAUCAGGUGUAA